rnacentral:rRNA from 1 species
GACGAACGCUGGCGGCGUGCCUAAUACAUGCAAGUCGAACGCAGAGGGGACGGGUGAGUAACACGUGGGUAACAUCCCAGCAGAGGGGAAAAAACAUGGAAACAGGUGCUAAACCGAUAAUGAUGGAUGGACCGGGGGUGCAUUAGCUAGUUGGUGAGGUAACGGCUCACGAAGGCCACGAUGGAUAGCCGACCUGAGAGUGUGAUCGGCCACACGGAAACUUAGACACGGCCAAGACUCCUACGGGAGGCAGCAGUAGGGAAUCUUCCGCAAUGUGCGAAACUCGGACCGAGCAACGCCGCGUGUGUGAAGAAGUUUUUCGGAUCUUAAAACUCUUUUGUUAGUGAAGCGUUAUCUGACCAGAAAGCUACGGCUAACUGCGUGCCAGCAGCCGCGGUAAUAC